GUGGGGAAUUUUGGACAAUGGGCGCAAGCCUGAUCCAGCAAUGCCGCGUGCAGGAAGAAGGCCUUCGGGUUGUAAACUGCUUUUGUACGGAACGAAAAGGCUCUGGUUAAUACCUGGGGCUCAUGACGGUACCGUAAGAAUAAGCACCGGCUAACUACGUGCCAGCAGCCGCGGUAAUACGUAGGGUGCAAGCGUUAAUCGGAAUUACUGGGCGUAAAGCGUGCGCAGGCGGUUUUGUAAGACAGACGUGAAAUCCCCGGGCUCAACCUGGGAAUGGCGUUUGUGACUGCAAAGCUGGAGUGCGGCAGAGGGGGAUGGAAUUCCGCGUGUAGCAGUGAAAUGCGUAGAUAUGCGGAGGAACACCGAUGGCGAAGGCAAUCCCCUGGGCCUGCACUGACGCUCAUGCACGAAAGUGUGGGGAGCAAACAGGAUUAGAUACCCGAGUAGUCC
rnacentral:rRNA from 1 species